CUUGUCGGUUGAAUCGCUGGUUUGAGUCACUUCUAUGGUACUGGGAACCGGCUCCAGUGACCUCUGUUUUGUUUCGGAGCCCACCGGCUGCCUCAAAAUCUGUAGGAGAAAGGAAUGACAAAGUUCUAGGCCAGUUGUUCGCAGUAUGUGGUUCUGGGACCAGCGGCAUCAGCAUCACCGGAGAUACUGUUAAAAUGACAAAUUCUCGGGCCCCACCCCAAACCUGCAGAAUCAGAAACUUUGGAGUGAAGCGAGUUAUCUGAAUUUUAACCAGCGGGCAGCUGGCCAGAUUUGGCCAAUGGGCUGUUUACCAACUCCUGAGCAAAAAGAAUUGAAAGUAGCUGACUCAGAAGCAAGGAAAAUAAAGAGAACUCGCCAAGUAUUUCAUAGCAGGCCACUUGGACCACUUUCAUCAUUUUCUGUAGAUCUUUAUAUUCUUGACACAACAACAUCCUAUUUUGGCCGAUGUUAAAAUCGAGGACUCCCAGAGCCUCUCCUGUUCUCUCACGAAGUGGAACUACUAUAUGCGUUUCUCCACAGGCAGAAGCCAGAACUACUUCUGAACUGUCAGUACAUUUAAAGAGGAAAUCUCUGAAAUCAAAACCAAAUAAGCACAAGGAUAUUAAACAUCUGUCUGUUCACAUCA